CGAUCCUCGGGGCACGGGGCGGCCGUGAUAGUAAGUGUUCAAGGUUUGUUCGGAUUUACGUGGCGUGAAGCGCGCGCAGGCGGAUUAAUAAGCCAGAUGUGAAAUCUCGGGGCUCAACCCCGAAACGGCGUCUGGAACUGUUAAUCUAGAGUUAUGGAGGGGAGAGCGGAAUUUCGCAUGUAGGGGUAAAAUCCGUAGAGAUGCGAAGGAACACCAGAGCCGAAGGGGGCUCUCUGGCCAUCAACUGACGCUGAGGCGCGAAAGCGUGGGGAGCAAACAGGAUUAGAUACCCGAGUAGUC
rnacentral:rRNA from 1 species